GAAUACCAAUAUGGCGGAGAAGUCGCUUCAACAAACAUCGCUGUGCCAUAACGAUACUUGAGAAAAACAACACAAUCCAAGUCCUUGUAAUGGUCUUUGUUUUUCUUCGUCUGUGUUUAUUUUCCUGGCAAAGGUAAACAAACCCGUGGAGAGGCGGUGCGGCGGGGACGUCUGCAGUUAUGUGCCCGAGUGUGACACACAUCACAGAGAGGGAGCCAAGGUGUUCUACUGACUGGGCUGUCCCCUGUUGCUGCAUCCACCAUGCUGUCCAAUUCCCGUAAAAAGGACAUAACAGCAAGUUGUGACAGCCUGGCAGGAAAAUACAUCAAGAAGGAAUCCCCUCCCGAAGUUCCGAUCAUAAAUGUAUGGCCAAAUGCAAGCCAGAGUGACACAAGAAAGCGGAAAAGCACUAUUGCUCCACCAUAUGUGAGCAGCACCAAUCCACCUUCCCAUCAGUCCUCACCCCUGCUCCAGAAAUACUCAACAGGGUCAAGAUCACCCAUGGUGGGAAAGCCUCAUGGAGGAACAGAAGGAAAAUACACUCCCAAUGUUGGAGAAGUGGUACAGCGCAUGGGUGGCCUUUACCUGGGGAGUCGAGGCAGUUUGGAUGGCAUGCUAAAACAACAGGCACCUCCUCCACAAGCUGUGUUCAAUCACACAUAUAUCAACCAUUAUACUGGCUCCCAGCAUAGUCUGGAUCAAAUAUUAUAUGGUCCCAGUCACAUUAGAUCUCCAUUAGAACAACCACCACAGCAAGGAACCAAUUUUACUUUCUUGGUUCACUCUGGACAAAAGCAGUUGUCUCAGUCAAAUACUCACCUGGGAAGUGGAUCUCCUCAGCCUCCCUCCCCAAGACUAGAGCAAGAGCUCCCACUUCCUCCUGGUUGGUCAGUUGACUAUACCCUACGGGGACGCAAAUAUUACAUUGACCAUAACACAAAAACUACACAUUGGUCACAUCCCUUAGAAAAGGAGGGACUUCCCGCAGGAUGGGAGCGAAUUGAGUCUCUAGAACAUGGAGUAUAUUAUGUCAAUCACAUCACCCGUCAGGCACAAUAUGAACACCCAUGUGCACAGCAGUACCUUCCUAGAAUUCCAGAAAAUACUGCCAUAGGGCCACAUAGGGCUCUUCCCAUUCCACACCACACAGAUUUUCGUCAGCCUCUCUCUCUAAUGCCUGCCUCUCCAUACCUACAUGAAGAGAUCCCAUACUGGCUGCGAGUCUACUCCCAAGCCUCCCCAGACCAUGAUCAUAAGUUAAGGUGGGAGCUGUUUCGGCUCCCUGAACUGGACUGUUACCAGGCCAUGCUCAAUAGACUUUUCAAGCAUGAGCUUCAUGGGAUCGUUAUGAGCUAUGAAAUGUAUCGAAUAGCUUUGACCCGGGAGAUCGAGCGCAGAAUGCAGCAGAUGAAUAUAACUACAGGCGGAGGAAGGAGUGGCAGUGGUGUGACCAUCACUGAAAUUACAGAUGAAGAUGACCGUGGAGAACACAUCACCACGCCAGAACAUUUCAAACAACAGAUACUAAAUGCUGACAACUUGUUUGAAUCAAAAGUGUAAUUGAGUUUUGCUCUCUUUACUGCCUGCUCCUAGUGAAUAAGUCAUCAUAUUUUUGCCAAAAUUAUUUUUAAUGAGGCAGCUUUUCAUCAUGGGAAACUGUUAAUGUUGGUAUAGUCUUUGCCUGUGAUUUCUAGAUAUACUGAGAUGUAUGGCUGUGCAUAGCAAAGUAUUAGAAUUUUUGGCAUUGCACUUGUCUCUGAUUCUCUCACCAAAGAAGGCAUAAUAUCUCAUUCUAUAAAAAAGAUGUCUGCUUUUCACUGCUUCUUGUAUUAGUGUCAAUGUGACCUGUCCAGAGUGCACCGUUUGAUGAUGUUUCAGGGAAAAGGGUAUAUCAUCUGUAGGUUGAAAGCACCUGAGAACUUCAGAUCUAACAGAAAUCACCACUGGAGUUACAAGCCUCUUCCCCAAGCAUUGACUAAAGUAACUUUUAUCCAUCACAAAAGACCUGGAAAAAAUUCA